GAUUGCCAUUUCUCGGCCGAAUCACCGGUACACGUUCGAAAAGUCAAAUGACUUAAUCGUCAAUCUGCACGCCGGCAAGGAAUUUAUGCAAAUCACAGUAUCCGCCAAACUUCGCGAUUGCACUCGCGCCGGUUCAAAGAUAGCGCUGACAAAUUGGCCCCAGAUUAAGGGCAUUUCGGAGAGGCAUGCACGGUAACUGGAACAGGUGCAUCGGCCUGAAGUACGAUCAGGAAAAUUAUUGAUUUUCGUUUACCUACUGAGCCGGUUGCUGUCCCGUGCUAGCAUGGCGAAUGCAACGCCGUCCCUUGGCACGACUGGGACGCCCUGUAUUCGAAGACAAUGGCCUUAGUUUCCGUUUCAAUAUUGAAAAAAUAAGAUCAGCAAUGAUAUGUGAAACGAUCAUUCGAUAAAUCGUUGUUUAUUAAGAAAAAAGGAAAAUAUUGGAAUGUUUGGUUAUGUUUGCU